rfam:Homo sapiens chromosome 19 genomic contig HG26_PATCH, GRC reference assembly FIX PATCH for GRCh38.
GCCGGGCGUGGUGGCGCAUGUCUGUAAUCCCAGCUACUGGGGAGGCUGAGGCAGAAGAAUCACUUGAACCCAGGGGGCAGAGGGUGCAGUGAGCCCAGAUCAUGCCACUGCACUCCAGCCUGGGUAACAGAGUGAGACUCGGUCUCAA